AGAGUUUGAUCAUGGCUCAGAUUGAACGCUGGCGGUAUGCUUAACACAUGCAAGUCGAACGGUAACAGGAAAAGCUUGCUUUUCGCUGACGAGUGGCGGACGGGUGCGUAAUGCGUAGGAAUCUGCCUAGUAGUGGGGGACAACUCGGAGAAAUUCGAGCUAAUACCGCAUAAGCCCUACGGGGGAAAACGGGGGAUCUUCUGACCUCGUGCUAUUAGAUGAGCCUACGUUAGAUUAGCUUGUUGGUGAGGUAAAAGCUCACCAAGGCGACGAUCUAUAGCUGGUCUGAGAGGAUGAUCAGCCACACUGGGACUGAGACACGGCCCAGACUCCUACGGGAGGCAGCAGUGGGGAAUAUUGGACAAUGGGCGAAAGCCUGGUCCAGCAAUACCGCGUGUGUGAAGAAGGCCUGAGGGUUGUAAAGCACUUUCAAUUGGGAGGAAUACCUAAUGGUUAAUAGCCAUUAGAUUGACAUUACCUUUAGAAGAAGCACCGGCUAACUCCGUGCCAGCAGCCGCGGUAAUACGGAGGGUGCAAGCGGUAAUCGGAAUUACUGGGCGUAAAGCGUUCGUAGGCGGUUUGUUAAGUUAGAUGUGAAAGCCCCGGGCUUAA
rnacentral:rRNA from 1 species